rnacentral:snRNA from 1 species
GCCAAUGAUUAGAGGCAUUG